rnacentral:rRNA from 1 species
UACGUAGGGUGCAAGCGUUAAUCGGAAUUACUGGGCGUAAAGCGUGUGUAGGCGGUUUAUUAAGUUUAAGAUUAAAGCCCGGGGCUCAACCCCGGGACUGCAUUGGAAACUGCCCGUCUUGAGUGCCGGAGAGGUAAGCGGAAUUCCUAGUGUAGCGGUGAAAUGCGUAGAUAUUAGGAGGAACACCAGUGGCGAAGGCGGCUUACUGGACGGUAACUGACGUUGAGGCUCGAAAGCGUGGGGAGCAAACAGG